rfam:Canis lupus familiaris chromosome 5, whole genome shotgun sequence.
GCCUGGGUGGCUCAGUGGUUGAGCAUCUGCCUUCGGCUCAGGUCAUAAUCCUGGAGUCCCGGGAUUGAGUCCCGCAUCAGGCU